rnacentral:piRNA from 1 species
UGAGUCCUUGUGUCUCUGCUGAGGUCC